rnacentral:rRNA from 1 species
GACAGAGGGUGCAAACGUUGUUCGGAAUUACUGGGCGUAAAGCGUGUGUAGGCGGUGAGGUAAGUCAGGUGUGAAAGCCCGGAGCUCAACUUCGGAAGUGCACUUGAUACUGCUUCGCUUGAGUACUGGAGAGGUUGGUGGAAUUCUCGGUGUAGAGGUGAAAUUCGUAGAUAUCGAGAGGAACAUCGGUGGCGAAGGCGGCCAACUGGACAGAUACUGACGCUGAGACACGAAAGCGCGGGGAGCAAACAGG